rnacentral:rRNA from 1 species
GUCUACGGCCAUGCCACUCUGAACAAGCCCAAUGUCUGAUCUUGGAAGCUAAGCAGGUUUGGGCCUGGUUAGUUAGUAUUUGGUUGAGAGACCACCUAGGAAGACUGGGUGCUGUAGGCA